rnacentral:rRNA from 1 species
UACCGAGGUCCCAAGCGUUGUUCGGAUUCACUGGGCGUAAAGGGUGCGUAGGUGGCAGGGUAAGUUUGAUGUGAAAUCUCCGGGCUUAACCCGGAAACUGCAUUGAAUACUAUCCUGCUCGAGGUUUGGAGGGGGGACUGGAAUUCUCGGUGUAGCAGUGAAAUGCGUAGAUAUCGAGAGGAACACCAGUGGCGAAGGCGAGUCCCUGGACAACACCUGACACUGAGGCACGAAAGCUAGGGGAGCAAACAGG